GCAGAAUGGCCACACAGAGGAGCAGAGAUUCCAGGAGAGGUAGAGACCACCCCAGCUCAAGGUUCCCUACUAUAUACCAUCUACUUCUAAGUGCCGAACUGACCAAGAGAGGAGCUGUGAGGAGGGUUGCUCUGAUCAGGUGACACCAUUACCCACGCAGAAAAUCUAUGCGACCAUACCUGUGAAUGACAUUAGUAAAGGCUAAUUUUGCAGCAAGAAACCAAAGCAACUGUGUGAUUUGUGGGCUAAUGCCCCCAAAUCGGUAAAAAAUUUCUCUACUGCCAAGGACACUCCACAUUCCCACUGAGCUCCUUGGAAACCCCAAAAGGAUGGAAAGCUUUCCUUGAUAUUCUAAAAAUCACUGUUCCUUGCUUUUUUAUACUUGUGGGAAGUGUGGAAGUAGUGCUCUGAAUUUUCCUAAAUAUAUAAUCACCACCAAAUACAGAAAACCUAUGAGUGAUGUCUGAAAGAGCACAAUGCAUGUGCAAAAGAGCUGCAGAUUGAUUAUGUGGGUGAUUUCCCUAAGCCAAAAAGAGAAAUGAAAAACAAAUGUUGAUAAUACUGGUGUUCAUCUGGACGCUGGCAUGGAACCAUUAAGGAAGGUUCUCAAGGAAAAGGAACAUGUGUUCUUGGAGCACCUAGCAGUUUCCAGGCACUCUGAAUGAUGGAUAGCAGGUCUGGCUAUUCCAAGGUUUUAUAUCAUCUUUUAUGUUUAGUGUGUCUCCUGGUUCCUGUGUGUUACCAGACUACCUACAAAAGAUCAGGCCAUUUUACAGACAACUAUGGUCCUGUAUCACCAUCAUUCCCCAAACAAAGACUAGGACCAAGCAGACUCAAAUACUGUUGAACUCUCUUUAGGUAUUGGCUAAGCUUUGGAUGAUUUGAUUUUGAUCAGUUUGGCUCACUGAGACACCUGUUACAGAAUGUACUUGAGUUUCUUGGUAUCACGGAUAGCAAGAUAGAAGUACUGUAAUAUCUCCUGACAUCCUAAAAUCUCCCUUGUGUAAUGUGCCUCCUCAAGUCAUAAACGUUUCUAUGCAAAUAUCCUGUGUCAUCAAGUGGUCAACAACAACAACAAAAAAAACAAAGCAUCAACAAUCAUCCAUCUCUUGUUAUUGUCAAUUGUGAAUUCCAAAAAUUGAUCAAAUCAGUCAGUUAUGUUGGUGACAGAAAGUGUUGUCAGUGCUCAAGGUCUCAGUCAAUCUCUCAAAAUUCACAGGCUGACCAAGAGCAGAGAACUGUUCAUUAAAUAUGGCACAAAGCUGCCUGUGUAUCUGGAAAACUACCUCAACAAGUCAAUAAACUGUACCCUGAGAAUAUGUUCAUAGAGUAAGUUGACGGGAUGUCAAAGGUUCAGCGUGUCACCUGCAGCAAACUGCUUAGAAGUGUGUGAAGGCAAAUGUACUGUGACCAAUAAAGCUAUUUCUAUAUGUCACUGUCUUGUUGUCUAUAGAUAUCACCUGCCACAUUCCUGGGUGGAUCAUUCUGAACCUUCUACCAAUUCAGAUGCACCUCAGGGUGUGUCUUUGUCCAAAGAAGCUGUAAAAUUAACUUGUCUAACCUUUUAUUAAGUAUCAGUAAAAACUAAGCGAUACAGUUGGCUUUGACAGGAAAUUCCUUGGAUCCUUAAAAAAUGUUCAUCUACAUUUGAAGAAUAAUUGAUACUAAUUGAAUGCUUGUGCUGGGUGUACCCCUUGUCCAAGCAGGGACAGUCAGGACUAAGGAGCAGAAUAAGCACAGGUGCCCAGCAAACAUUAAAUACAGACAAAAGUCAGAAUACUGGCUCAAAUCAAAUCUGCUCCACGCACUCAAAGAACUUACAACAUGGCACACCCUGAGGCUCCACUAAACAUCUACUAUGAUUUCUUUGUCACCCCUACUUCCCCCAAUCAAAACACUAAACAACUGGCUGAGGUGGAGAUGCUAAGUGACCAAAAGUGACUCUUCUCAGGGGACUCACCCUCCCAACACCCCAGGAUUACAAUCAUCCAGUGAAAAGAGGAAGUUUUCCACAAAUACUGAAUUGAGGGGCAGCCCAAGGGUUUGGAAGAAAACACUUGUAGUACUGCACUUUGCCCCAGGACUAACAUAACAUUUAACAAUAUAUAGUCUUGAUUAAAAUAGGAUUAUGGGCAGAGAAAGAGAUGUUUGUGGCUGUACCACUUAACUAGCUGUGAUCUGGAAAAGUGAGUUCCACCCGGGGUCCAUUUCUAACUACAAAAUUAAUUAGUUGGCUGAAUUUGGCCAGGCCAUUAGGAAGAGAAAAAUCGAGAAAAUCACUUUUCCGUGCAAUAAUUUGGCACGUGGUAGAGCAGUCGCUAGAGAUCUGCCAACCCCUGUUGUAUCUCCUCAUUGAACCAAGAACAUGAAGGUUAGCUAGUUUG